GACGAACGCUGGCGGCGUGCCUAAUACAUGCAAGUAGGACGCACAGCCUAUACCGUAGCUUGCUACACCAUAGGCUGUGAGUUGCGAACGGGUGAGUAACGCGUAGGUAACCUGCCUAUUAGAGGGGGAUAACUAUUGGAAACGAUAGCUAAUACCGCAUAACAGUAUGUAACACAUGUUAGAUGCUUGAAAGAUGCAAUUGCAUCGCUAGUAGAUGGACCUGCGUUGUAUUAGCUAGUAGGUAGGGUAAUGGCCUACCUAGGCAACGAUACAUAGCCGACCUGAGAGGGUGAUCGGCCACACUGGGACUGAGACACGGCCCAGACUCCUACGGGAGGCAGCAGUAGGGAAUCUUCGGCAAUGGGGGGAACCCUGACCGAGCAACGCCGCGUGAGUGAAGAAGGUUUUCGGAUCGUAAAGCUCUGUUGUUAAGGAAGAACGAGUGUGAGAAUGGAAAGUUCAUACUGGGACGGUACU
rnacentral:rRNA from 1 species